rnacentral:lncRNA from 10 species
AAAACCUAAUUGUUGGACUGCUGCCUAAUUAUCUGACGCUUCUCCUGCCAAAAGACCAGCAAGCAAAACAAACAAAGUUACUAUAUUAGCAAGAAUAAUAGAACUUGAUUAUCAUCAAGAGCUAGGAAUGCUACUACCUGAUGGGGUUAAGAAGAAUUAUGUCUAAACUUUAAGAUAGUCCUUGGGGAAUCUCCUGGUGUUACUGUCAUGCGCGUCCAUGUGAAGAGAGUCCACCAAACAGGCUUUGUGUGAGCAACAAGGCUGUUUAUUUCACCUGGGCGCAGCAUUCACCAGGGCUUAGAAGACCCUGUGGCACCUGAAAGUGAAUGUGCAAUUGGAUUGGAGUUAUGCUGCAACAAUUAGCUGCUCAAUUGUGUGUUUAUUACAUAUACCAAGAUCACUUAAAUAACACUACAGGUAAGACUUGAAGAUUUAACCUAAACUAUAUUCUCUCACAACAAUUUGUGAACUGACUAGUUAAGGAAGAAUAGAAGUGAAAGCUGCUGAGAAUUGGAAACAAUGAUUUCAUUCUUCCCUUUCAAUCUUCUAGUUAAGUGUUUCUCAUUUGCUGGUGAAUACCCCAGUGUGAAUGCUUCCAGGAGAAUUACUUUCUGACUGCCAAACUGAGUCAUUAUUUUGAAUAGCUUUACCUUGCUAAAAUGUUUUAAUUUACAUCUAGAAUGUUCCUACUACUGAAGUUGCCCCAAGGCUAGUCAGAAGAGGGCUGUAAGAGUUUCAGAAUUUAAGUAUUUCUCAAAAACAUCACAAACCGAAACCUGAGAACUAUAGAAAAUAUGUAAUGCCUUUUUAGGCAAAAUUCAUCCCAAAGAAUUUUUACAGGAUUGAAAUUCACCAGAUAAUUGUUUCUUUUUCAACAAUGAAUAAAACAGAUGAAACAGCUAAAGAAUAAUCUUAAAAUUAAACUCUAACUAAGCUAUAUGACUCUUCUUUCUUAUUUAGUGUAUUCUCCCCGAAUUUAAUGUCAAAACACUAAAAAAAUUAUUGUAGAAUUAUUGACCCAAUUUGUCCUAUCAAGAUAAUUUGUUGACUCUUUAGUAACUAAAUUGGCUCAACCAUACCAAAAACAUGUUAGUUUCUCUGUCAUUAUGAAACCUAAAACCAUUGAAUUAGCCCACAGAGUCUUAUUCAGCAUAGACUUGCCUAAAGCCCAUAUUGAUUAACAGCUACAUUACAUGUAAACAGUUUUGCCCUGUGGAUAGUGAGUUACUCUAAGGAGGACUGUGAUAUUUUAUCAAAAGUUAAGAGCAUACAAAAGACUAUUUGCAAUAUAUGCCCAGUGGUUCUCAACUGAUACAACUUUACACCUCCAGUGCUCUCACUCAUGGACAUUUGACAAUAUCUGGAGACAUUUUAGGUUGUUGCAACUGGUUAGCAUCUAGUGGAUAGAAGCCAGGAAUCUUGCUAAAUAUCCUACAGUAUAAGGACAGUCCCCCACAACAAAGAAUUAUCUAGUUCAAAAGGCAAUAAUGCCAAGGUUUAAAAAACCCUGUUAUAUACCUCUUGUUGAAGAUGUUUUAUUUGGAUUAUAAACAUACAAGUAAUAAUUUAUAUAUUUGCUCCUAUGCUUUCAACUUUUAGGUGACAUAUUUUAUUUAAGCAAAUGCAGAAUAUUUAAUGAGCUUGAAUAAAAUUGUUUCUUAAAAUGGAGAAUAUUUAUUAAACCACUUAAGUUCAAAAAGGCAAUUAAAAAACACAAGGUUUAGGCAAAUAGAAAUGAGUGAUAUUUAUAUCCGAAGCUUUCUUGGAAAAGCGACCAGGCAUAAGCUAACUGGAAGGAUAUUGAGAAGAUUAAUUUGAUAUGCUUUGUGAAAUAGUUUCUUAACUCCUCUUGGAAAAGCUGCCCCCAUGUAAGGAGAUAUAAAGGUGAUGAUCUCCAGCACUAUUCCCUAGAAGCAGAGAGUGUAGCUUAGGUGAAAGCAAAUGCUUGACUUCCACUUUCUUCAUUUCAACAAAUAAAUUAAGGAUCUACUGGAAAAACAAUCUAAAGACUUGAUAGAAUUAAAAGAAAAAAAAACAAAGAAAAAACAGAAGGGGAACGAAAGGAAGGAAGGAAGGGAGGGAGGGAAGGAGGGAGGGAGGGAGGGAAAGAAGAGAAAGAAAAUUUUUUUUAAAAAAAGGAAAGGAAAGGAAAAAAGUGAGAGAAACAAGGAAGUCCCAACCGUUAAUGUUAAGUCUCUGUUAGUGAGAGACAGGACUAGCUGGAUUUCCUAGGUCGACUAAGAAUCCCUAAGCCUAGCUGGGAAGGUGAUCGCAUCAACCUUUAAACACGGGGCUUGCAACUGAGCUCACACCUGACCAAUCAGAGAGCUCACCAAAUGCUAAUUAGGCAAAAACAGGAGGUAAAGAAAUAGCCAAUCAUCUAUUGCCUGAGAGCACAGCGGUAGGGACAAUGAUCAGGAUAUAAACCCAGGCAUUCGAGCCAGCAACGGCAACCCCAUUUGGGUCCCCUCCUUGUAUGGGAGCUCUGUUUUCACCCUGUUUCACUCUAUUAAAUCUUGCAACUGCAAGAUUUAAUACUCUACUGGUACGUGUUUGUUACAGCUCGAACUGAGCUUUCGCUGGCAGUGCACCACUGCUGUUUUGACGCCGUGGCAGACACUCUGCUGACUUCCAUCCCUCUGGAUCCAGCAGGGUGCCCACUGUGCUCCUAAUCCAGCGAGGCGCCCAUUGCUGCUCCACAUCAAGUUAAAGGCUUGCCAUUGUUCCUGCAGGCCUAAGUGCCUGGGUUCGUCCUAAUCGAGUUGAACACUAGUCACUGGGGUCCAUGGUUCCCUUCCGCGACCCACGACUUCUAAUAGAGUUAUAACACUCACCACAUGGCGCAAGAUUCCAUUCCUUGGAAUCCAUGAGACCAAGAACCCCAGGUCAGAGAAUACGACUCUUGCCACCAUCUUGGAAGUGGCCCACCACCAUCUUGGGAGCUCUGGAAGCAAGGACCCCCGGUAACAUUAGGGACAGUACUUGAGAAAUCUACCUUAUGGCUGUGGUUCUGUGUUGUAUUCUGUACUUGCUUCUCUCUACCUUAUGACUUAAAUGAACUAACCUUGAAAGCAGAUGAGUCUUUUGUAUAAAAGACUAGAAAAUGGAUUGGAAGAGAAAGUUGUAAAUAAAUUCCUAAUUGUAAAAAGGCAGUUAGUUACCUUUUUACAGUAAUCCAAAAAUGACUGUGAAUUACAAGCAUUUUGAAUUUGGAGAAAGCUCAUUUUAUAAUUUAAGGUAAGCAAUAUAGCUCUAUAUUUUAAAUGUAAUUUUAAUAGUAUAGAUAAAUCCUAUAUAAUUAUUCCAUUAACCUCGGUAAAUAUUUUGACUUUAUCCUGCAACUCAGUAGCUGAAUAAAAAUAUACCCUCAGGACCUCAUUUACUUGCUAUACCUGUCUCAUUUACAAGCCAAUUAAUUUAUAUUUUCAGCAUUACAAUUACAAGCCUCCAUUAAUGCCCCCACAUAAUUACAGUAAUAGCUUUCUAAAUUCAAAUUAUUCUGAAACUCUAAAAUUCUGUAAUUUGAUAUAAACCAGGAAGUACAUGUUAAUAAAACAUAUGACAUGAGCCCAAAUAGGUACUAUUAUAUAUUUUUAUAAUCCAAAUGGAACAACUUAAUUGUUAUCAAAAAACUAUACAAUUAGUAUUCUAUAUUUGGUUUCUCAAAAAAAAAAAAAUGAUACUCAAAUGUGUAUGUUCUACUUUCUGGAUCACUGCCUUGCCCAUAGUAAAAGUUCAAUGAGCAUGUUCUAUUCUAAUGAGGCAAAUUGCUAUCUGUUCUCAAAAUCAGACUUGUCUUCUUCCUGGGCACAUGGCUGUAUUACACGUAGCCAUAUAAUGGAGAUCUACUUACUGGAAUGUGAGGAAAAGAGAAAUGUGCAUUUCCAGUCCUGGCCUGUGAAAACCUCCCCAGGCGUGCUCCUCCUUGUUUGUUUCCCUUUCAGUUGGAAGGAAUGGAGAUGAUCCCUGGGUAACUAGAUCCUCUAAUCUCUUCCUGCAGGACUGACUGUGAACACCUACUUGGGUCUAAUACAUUGAGUGAGGAAUGAACUUGUUAGAGUGCAAGUCAUGAAGAGUGAGAGCUUUUCUGCUUUUAUCUGUAAAAGCAGCCAGUAUUAUCCUAGCACAUUCUGACAAUACAGAGAAAUCAUGAAAAUAAGCUUUUUGGGAAAUAUAUGUGUGUAUGCUCACACAUACAUAUAUAUACAUGCACAUAUAAUGAAACACACUCAUAAGCAUACACAUAUGUUUUGAUAACUUUCUUCAACAGAUAUUCUCCCUUUUUUUUUUUUGUUUGAGACAGACUCUCACUCCGUCGCCCAGGCUGGAUUGCAGUGGCACAAUCUCGGCUCACUGCAAGCUCUGCCUCCCACGUUCACGUGGGAUUAUAGGCGUGAGCCACCGCGCCUGGCCAACAGAUAUUCUUUUUAUGGAAUUUUUUAUUACUCACUGUGAGAAGUUUAACAAAUCUCAAAUCUAAAAUCAACGAGCUAAGGCUUAAAAUCCUUUUUCACCUUUUUCUCCUUUCCAUCAUGAGUUCUCAAAAACUCUUGUUCACAUAAAUCUUGGACUGACAUAGGAAGCAAAGAUUCCUAUUAAAUCAUUACACUGUUCUUUCUGCUCUGAUUUUCCUUCAUUCCUAAUGACUCAAAUUCUAGCAAUUCCACUUGGUUUCACGUUUUAUUUCGACUUUAUCAUUGCAGUCCUUGACUUUUCUGCCAUUAGUAUUCAAGAAUCAUAAAACUUUUACCACAAAAGUACUAAGCAUUUGACUUGUUCUAAAUAUUACAUAAACCUGGACUACAUUCAUUUUGAAUGUUCUCUUUUGAUUAGAUCAAUAGGCAAUAUUUCAGACUACUAACCUGAUAUUCACUUUUAUACAGCCUUUUUUUUUUUACAUUUGAAGCAACUGAACUGAACACAGUGAUUGUGUCUUUCUUUUAUUGUCUCAGAACUGUUAACCCAAGUAGUGUGUAUAAAAAUAUAGGUAAGAAUUUAAAAAUUAUAUGCAUCUGGUGACAUUUCUCUUCAUGAUGUGAACAUUGCUGCAUGUUCUUUUCCACUAUGAUAGCUUUUACAAGGUACACCAUGUCAUUGGCCUUUUCUUUCAGUGAGAAGCUUGCCUUGUUCACAAAAGGCUGACAGCUCCACUCCAACUAGUGAGAUUUUAAAGGAGCUUGUGACAGCGUGGCUAAGCCAGGCUUCACAAUGGGUCGUCUUUGCAGUGUUAACAUGAAAAGUCAGAGAGUGAAAGGAAGAUUGAAUAGAGUCCCAGAUAAAAGGAAAAUAAAGACCUAAGGACCUGUCACAUAACACUUAUUUUCUGAGUAAAAGUAACUAAGAUAUAAUAAAGAAUAAUAGCUUUGAAGUCAGAAAGACCUAGAUUCACAUAUUUUACCCUCUGUCAGUUUCAGUAUCUUCACCUUAAAAAGGGGGGGGAUACAAAUAUCAGCAUAAUAGAGCUAUUAGGAAGAUAAAGUGAAAAAAUAUGUGUAAACAGUUCAAUUCUGCAUCUGUCUCCCAGAAGGACUAACAUUUAUAGAAACUUCUUAUGUGCCAAGCACUGCUCUAGACACAGGCAAAAAUCCCUGCCCUAUAGGACAUUCAUUCUAGUGGGAGAAAUUGAGAUCAAUUCAAAAGACAAUUAAAAUGUAUAGUAUAUUAGAUGAUGAGAGUGGGAAGGGGAUAAAAAAUGCAAGGAAGAGGGACAGGAAGGAUCAUAUGUAGAAUAAUAGAUAGGAUGGCUCGAAGAAUCAGCACAAUUUCAUGAAAAGGUGACAUUCCAGUAAAGUGAAUGAGUGAGCCAGGUAGACUCUUGAGGACAAGCAUUCUAAAGAUAAGAAAAAGCAAAUGCAUAAAAACUAAGGCAGACGCAAAUGGCUCAUCCCUGGAACAAUGAGGAAGCACUAGCUCAUGCACAGUGAGGGAAGGUAAAAUUAGUGUAAAAUGAAUGUCAGAAAUAUCAUAUAUGACCCUGUAGGUCUUCCUCAAUGGUGAUUUUUAUUCUGAUGGAGAAGACAUGCCUGAAGUGUAUUGAGCAGAAGAGUGACAAGAUCUGACUAACCUGGUAAGAUUACUCUGGCUGUUGUUUUGAGAAUACUUGGAGCGGAGAUAAGUAGUGAAGCUGAUAUAUCAACUUAUAAGCUUUUUACUAAUCCAGGUAAGAGAUGAAGGUAGCUUGAUCUGCAGUGGUGGCAGUACAGAUGAGAAGAAGUGGUUAAAUUUUGUAUAUAACUUGAAGACAAAGUGGGCAAGAUGAUCUGAGUGAUUGGACUGGGAGUGUGAGAGGCAGAAAGGGGUCAAUGAUGACUCCAAGGUUUUAUAUGAACAAUUGGAAAAAUAUUACGUUCUUUUUGUCUUUUUCUCCUUUUCCUUUUUCUUUCUUAUAGUUUGAGGCUUAUCGUUUGACAACAACAAAUGAUCAGUUUAUCUUCUAGAAAGUAGAUUGUCAACAAUUUAUAAAUGAAGAGUCUGCUAGUCAGUGAUAAGCAAAGGACUCUGUGUGGGAACUGGAGGGAAGAAAGACCCUCAAUCAUGUUCUAAGGCCAGUAUUUAAGAAAUAUUCAUAAAUAUGUUUUAAAAAAUUUUCCAGGAGUCAAAUGAUACAAUGUUAAUGGAAGGAAUUCAUUCUUUGUCUGCUCAAAAAUCCAUUUGACAAUACUUCUGUCUAUAUUCAGGCUCCAGUUUUUGUAGGUUAAAUUGUAACAACAUUUGUUGGCAUACUCAUUCUCCAAACACCAUUCUUAGUACUCUAUUGGGUGUAGUAGAUCGCCCAGGGUCUCCAGCUUGCAGGCAGACCACUGUGGGACUUCUUAGCCUCCAGAACUGGUAUAAGCCAGUUUCCCUAAUUCAUCUUCUCUCAAAUAUCUAUCCAUCUCUCUGUAUAUAUCCUACUGUUUCUAUCUUUCUGAAGAACCCUAAUGCUUGUUCCUUGUGUAUUAAUAUGUAUUAGUAUGUAUUAUUACUCAUACAUGCUCCAGGUUUAGUAUGUUUUUUUAUUUAAAAAAAUUCAUAAGAUUGAAGGCUGCAUUAUUGAUUUGCCAUCUUUCUUCUUUUUAAAAAUAGGCCUGUAAAAUCUCCUUCUGAGCACUGCUUCAGCUGCAUUCUAUAAAUUUUUGUAUAAUUUGUUUUCAUUUUCAUUUAUAAUUUCAUUGAAAACAAAAACAAAACACAUCAUAUAGUAUAACCAUUCCAACUCUCUUUUGGGCAUUUUAUGAAUGGUACAUCUUUUUUAAUCCUUACUUAUUUGUGUCUUUGAAAGUAAAUUUUGUUUCAUUUAUCCAACAUCUAGUUGGAUCAUAUGUUUUUUAAACUAAUCUUCCAAUCUCUGCCUUUUGAUUGAAAUGUUUAGUUCAUUCAUUUUAAGUCUCAUUACUGGUUAGGUAGGAUUUAUUUAUGCCAAAUUGGUACGUGUAUAUUUUAUUUCUUUUUUUCUGUUUUCUUCCAUUACUUCUUUCUUUUGUUUUAAAUAGACAUAUUCUAGUAUAUCAUUUUUAUUUCCAUGUUGUUUUCUUUACUUCCUAUUUUUGGAUUAUUUCAUAGUGAUUGCCCUGGGAAUUACAUUUGCAACUUAACUUAAAACAAUCUACUUCAUAUAACAUCAACUUAGUUUCAACAGUAUACAAUUUUUUCCUCAUUAACUCUAUAACUUUCUUCCUUCCAUGUGUUAUUAUUACAAUACAAAUUAUAUCUGUAUACAUUAUAAACCCAUCCCUAAAUAAAAUCUAAAUAAGUACUUAUUUAUAGUAAAGUGAACUUCAGGAGAGGUUUUGACCUCCGAAGCCAUGGGGAAUGUAAUGAACUCUCCGAAACUAAUUUGGUCUAGUAUGUCCCAAAGACGACAACGGAUUUUUAGUUUGACUCAAAGUACAUUAAAAAUCACCACAUAACCUAAAAGUUAUCAUCAAGGUCCAGAAAAUUCCACUGGACGUUAGGAAAAGGGAAUGUUAAAUUGAAACCAUGCAAGAAAAUUUCCACCGUUUGACCCACUCACAAGUGGGCAAUUCUUUCUCUGAAACAAAACAGACUUGUAGUAAACCCCAUAAGCCAUCCAUACAAUAAAUGUUUACUAUGUGUCUACUUAUUGGCUACUGGGAAGUAAGAAUGCAGUUUCUCUUCUCAAAGAAGUCGCAAGCAAGUGUAGAAAAUGUUGAGAAAAAAAAAAAUCAAGUUCUUAAGUAUAACAAAUGUAGGUGAUGUGAAAAGGAUAGCACAGGACACAAUGUGUACAAAGAAUAGUCCCCUAACUCCCUGAGCUCGGUGAGGGCAGGCAGGGAUCACUGCUAAUAAGAAGUAACACAGAAGCCAAAUCUUUAAGGAUAAACAAGAAAAGGAAAAAAGCAGAAAAAUGCAUUAUUGUCAAAAAGCAGUCCUACAUUCAAGGAGUCAUGAGAUAAAAUGAAGUGCCUGGGGGAAACUUUGAGAAGCUUAGUUUGAAUGAACAGAGGAGAAUUGGGACUUCUUAAAGAGCGAUAACACUGGAAAUGUGUGGAAGAGUCCAAACCACACACUAUCCAAGGACAAUCCACUGUCUGACAUACUCAACUUUUUAACUGUGUUUUUCUCUCACAAUCCACAAGUGGAAAUACAAACAAUAAAAACAAGGUUGAAACUGAAUAAUAAUAGAAUAUUUUAAAGCACAGUCUUUUUACUUUGUUUCUUAAUUUAGUUCAUGAUUUUAUUCUGGAGUAUUGCAUUUUCCUUUUGCUGACAUUUAAGCAAACAAAUGUAAGAAAACUCCAGUAAGUAUUAGUGAAAUUUACGUAAAUUAGUGAUCAAAGCCCAAUGAAAUACAGAAAGUUGAGGCUCAGGGGACUAAAAUAGGGGCCAGUAAAGUCACAUCGAAGGUAUUUUGUUUGAGUCUGUGAAAGACAAAGUCAACAGAGACUCUCACUUCACAGCCCCUCUGCUCUUCCAAUGUUACACUCCAUAUUAUACAUUAGAUGAAUUUUUUGUAGCAUUUUGCAGUUUCUGUAUCUGAUAGGUACAGAAUUUCAUAAAUAAUUGAAGUCCACUCAAAUAUUACUACUUGUGAAUGCAUUUUUAACUAUUUCCAUUUUAGAAAUGGACAAAUAUGCCUCCUGGUGGCAAACUGCAGGUGCAUUUCAAUUGUAGCUUGCACUUUACAGACAUGACAAGGGUAAAGCCAAUGUCAAAAUUGUCCCUGAAGCAUCAACUCUUCAAUAACUUUCCCAUAAUAAUGUGAACAGAAGGUUAGAACUCAAGGAAGAUGCUACACUUGACAUGAGGAAAAUCAGACGCCACAACCAUGAAGCUAUGACCAUUUUUGCAAACCAACUAAAGAAACAUUAUAAAGUAUCUACCAAUAAAAAGCCUGAAAAUUGGCCAGGCGCAGUGGCUCACGCCUGUAAUCCCAGCACUUUGGGAGGCUGAGGCGGGCAGAUUACGAGGUCAGGAGAUCGAGACCAUCCUGGCUAACACGGUGAAACCCCGUCUCUACUAAAAAAAAAAAAAAAAAAAAAUAUGCCGGGCAUGGUAUGCACCUGUAGUCCCAGUUACUUGGGAGGCUGAGGCAGGAGAAUGGCGUGAACCUGGGAGGUGGAGCUUGUAGUGAGCCGAGAUCGUGCCACUGCACUCCAGCCUGGGCGACAGAGCAAGACUCCAUCUCAAAAAAAAAGCAUGAAAAUUGUUAGGAUUCCUAAGAAGACUUUGGAGAUAUUCAGUAGUUACUUACAAAAUUUGGGAUAGAGUGCCUUUGGUUUAAGAUCCUUGUUUUUCUUUUAAGAGACUCAAAAUUGCACUAUAACGUGGAUUCUUCUAAAUCUGCACAAUAAUUUGAGAAAUACUGACAACAUUCUUGGUAUGACUAAAAAGUGACAGAGUAAGGAAAUCGUUUUACUUGGCUAAUAAAACUGGAAUAUAAAGAAUAAGCUCCUACAAUUAUUCCUCCAUUAUAUGUUCUUAAAUUAUGUUUUUUGAAACCUGCUUCCUAUUUCUGUCUUUAAUUCAUGUAGUUGAUCCCAUUAUACUCAAAAUUGCAAUAUAAACACAAGAUACAUGAAGGGACAUCUCUGAACCUGGUCACACCAAAGGAUGAAGAGUUUGAAAAUGUAUUUUCUUAGCAAAAAGUUAGGUAAUGUCUAUUGCAAGAUUAUAGUCUUUCUGAAAUGAAUCUUAAAUGACUGUCAGAAUGUAUUUUGGAAAUAUGCUUGUGCUAGUCCGUUCUCACACUGCUAUGAAGAAAUAUCCAAGACUGGGUAAUUUAUACAGAAAAGACGUUUAAUUGACUCACAGUUCCACAUGGCUAGGAAGCCUCAGGAAACUCACAAUCAUGGCAAAGGCAUCUCUCCAGAGGCCAUCAGGAGAGACAAUGAGUAACAGCAGCGGAAAUGACAGACGCUUAUAAAACCAUCAUAUGUUGUGAGAACUCACUCACUAUCAUGAGAACAGCAUGAGGGAAACCGUUCCCAUGAUUCAGUUACCUCCACCUGGUCCCGCCCUUGACACGUGGGGAUUAUGGGAACUGAUUCAAGAUGAGAUUUGGUUGAGGACACAGCCAAACCAUAUCAGUGCUCAAUGCCUCUACUUUAGAUAACAAUUAGAAUAAGUUAAUCCAUUCUGUAUACUCCAAUCCAACUCCUGCCAUAGCUCUGGAAAGAUUUAAACAUAAUGAAGAAUACGUUUUAACUAAUAUAAAUAAUUCUCCUUAUUAAUCUUUAAAUAAAUAUAUGCUGUCAGCUGGAUUCAGUGGCCGUUUGCUGUUUGUGAAAGCCAGAGAUUAAUAAUUGCCUGCUAGAAAGAAUAGAUUUAUUCUCUGGCCUUACUGGCAGAAUAAAAAUGUUAAAAGCUAAAUGUUGAAUUCAUUGCUAACGAUUAAUUCCCCUGUAUAAUCCAUGUGUUGUGGGCAUGUUGUGAGGGCAAACGGUCAGCAUUCAUAUUAAUCUGAAAUAUCAGCUGUGUAAGUAACGUUAGCACUUGGCUCAAAAUAUCCCCAAUAUAUACAAGGGAUGGAGUAGAAGACAGAAGUGCAUGAUGGAGACAGGAACAACCCUCUAAUUUAGCCACUUCUGCUAUAAUGUAUAAGGAAAGUAAAUGGUUUUGGAUGGAUUCUAUUUAAUCCCAUACCUGUCAAAAUUAUUACCUGUCAGUUCUAUACACACUACCUAACACUUGAAAUGUGAUGAUUUUUAUAGAAAAACAAUGAGUAUCACAGGAUUUAAUAUAAAAAUUAUGUGACCAAAACAAUCAAGAUUUAAUAAAAACUUAAGAAGGCUGGCUUGUAGCAGCAUGUGUUAAAUCAUUUUGGAGUCAUAUGACUCUCUGAAACACAUACAGUUAAUUUAUUACGAACAAAGCUGAUGAAAGAGUCAUCACUAUAGGCCUUCCAUACAAUCUCCUGUACUCUGUUAGUAAUACAAUUUUAAGGUGCUGCUAUACUAGAGAACAGGAAUAGACCAGAACAUGUAUAGCUGUCUGUAUUCUCUUUCUGUUUUUAAAAUCUCCAGUGAAGGAAUUACUGUUUAGAACAAAAUUUUGCAAACUAUGGCUCAAGGACCAAAGCUUUCCCACUGGCUGUUUUUGAAAAUAGCUUUUUUUGAACACAGCCACACUAAUUCAUUUUAUGUUUCAUCUAUAACUGCUUUUCCACUACAAAUGUGGAGCUGAGUAGUUGCAGCAGAGACUUCAUGGCCCAAAAAACCUAAUAUAUUUAUUAUCUGGCCUAUUUUGGAAAAAGUUUGUUGGCUGUAGUCUAGAACUUGUAGAUAACAUUGGAUUUUACCUACCCUCCAUCACUGCAUCCACUGAUAGUAAUCAAGACCCAAGGAAGUUGAGGCCAUAAACUUCAGUGAAGCAUCUCUAAACUAGAAACUUCUGUGAGAGUCUCUCUAAGAUAAAAACAUUUCGUCUCUGCAUUAUUGAUUGCCUACCAUGGUUCUCAUAUCACAUGAUGUACCAGAAUUAGAAGAGACAAGCAUAGACUUGUAUCAUAGACUUAUAUGCUUGUAAAGAGGAGGUAUAUUCAACACAUAAUUACAUAAAUAUUUACUCAUUUUUAAAGUGGCAUUUUGAAAUGAUUCAGUGCACAAUAACCUUGUCUGGGUUGGGUUAAGGGGUAGUGACAGGAAUGAAAAUGAUACCUGAAGAAUGAGUAGACCAGAGUGGGAGUAUGUCAAACAGGUCAGCAUAUGCAAGGACCUUAGUUAGGGAGAAGUUUGAUAACUUCCAAGAAGAAAAGCCAUAUGAUACACAGUCAAACCAAAAAGAAAAAGAUGUAUUAAAAUAAUAUCUAUAGAGAUCUAAAAUAUUAUCUCUAGAAAUGUACCCACAUCGUGAGAUCCCCAGAGUUUUUAGCCUCUAAGAAAGAGUUUUACUGUAAAAUCUCACUAUGCAUUCUUUUCUUUCUUUCUUUCUCUCUCUUUCUCUCUUUUUCUUUCUUUUUUUUUUUCUUUUUUUUUUUUUUUUUUUUUUUGACAGGGUCUCAUUCUCAUUCUGUUGCCCAAGGUCAAGUGCAGUGGCACCAUCAGGGCUCACUGCAGCCUUGGCCUUCCUGGGCUCAGGUGAUCCUUCUGCCUCAGCCUCCCAAGUAGAGUAGCUGGGACUUGGGACUACAGGCAUGCACACCACACCCAGACAAUUUUUGUAUUUUUUUUUUUUUUUUUUGGUAGAGAUUGGGGUCUUGCCAUGUUACCCCGGCUGGUCUCGAACUCCUGUGGUCAAACAAUCUGCCCACCUCGGCCUCCCAAACUGCUGGGAUUACAGGCAUGAGCCACCACUCCCAGCCACUAUGCAUUCAGAAAGAUGAGAAAUCGUGAAGUCAUGACCACUCACCUCUAAUACCAACCUGAC